rfam:Triticum aestivum genome assembly, contig: Triticum_aestivum_CS42_TGACv1_scaffold_406694_5BL
GAUGUACUCCCUCUGUCCCAAAAGGCUUGUCUUAGACUUGUCUAGAUACAGAUGUAUCUAGACACGUUUUAGUGUUAGAUACAUCCCUAUGUAGAUAAAUCUAAGACAAGCUUUUUGGGAUGGAGGUAAUAUUUG